UAGUUUGAUUAUGGCUCAGAUUGAACGCUGGCGGCAGGCCUAACACAUGCAAGUCGAACGGUAACAGGAAGCAGCUUGCUGCUUCGCUGACGAGUGGCGGACGGGUGAGUAAUGUCUGGGAAACUGCCUGAUGGAGGGGGAUAACUACUGGAAACGGUAGCUAAUACCGCAUAACGUCGCAAGACCAAAGAGGGGGACCUUCGGGCCUCUUGCCAUCGGAUGUGCCCAGAUGGGAUUAGCUUGUUGGUGGGGUAACGGCUCACCAAGGCGACGAUCCCUAGCUGGUCUGAGAGGAUGACCAGCCACACUGGAACUGAGACACGGUCCAGACUCCUACGGGAGGCAGCAGUGGGGAAUAUUGCACAAUGGGCGCAAGCCUGAUGCAGCCAUGCCGCGUGUAUGAAGAAGGCCUUCGGGUUGUAAAGUACUUUCAGCGGGGAGGAAGGGAGUAAAGUUAAUACCUUUGCUCAUUGACGUUACCCGCAGAAGAAGCACCGGCUAACUCCGUGCCAGCAGCCGCGGUAAUACGGAGGGUGCAAGCGUUAAUCGGAAUUACUGGGCGUAAAGCGCACGCAGGCGGUUUGUUAAGUCGGAUGUGAAAUCCCCGGGCUCAACCUGGGAACUGCAUCUGAUACUGGCAGGCUUGAGUCUCGUAGAGGGGGGUAGAAUUCCAGGUGUAGCGGUGAAAUGCGUAGAGAUCUGGAGGAAUACCGGUGGCGAAGGCGGCCCCCUGGACGAAGACUGACGCUCAGGUGCGAAGGCGUGGGGAGCAAACAGGAUUAGAUACCCUGGUAGUCCACGCCGUAAACGAUGUCGACUUGGAGGUUGUGCCCUUGAGGCGUGGCUUCCGGAGCUAACGCGUUAAGUCGACCGCCUGGGGAGUACGGCCGCAAGGUUAAAACUCAAAUGAAUUGACGGGGGCCCGCACAAGCGGUGGAGCAUGUGGUUUAAUUCGAUGCAACGCGAAGAACCUUACCUGGUCUUGACAUCCACGGAAGUUUUCAGAGAUGAGAAUGUGCCUUCGGGAACCGUGAGACAGGUGCUGCAUGGCUGUCGUCAGCUCGUGUUGUGAAAUGUUGGGUUAAGUCCCGCAACGAGCGCAACCCUUAUCCUUUGUUGCCAGCGGUCCGGCCGGGAACUCAAAGGAGACUGCCAGUGAUAAACUGGAGGAAGGUGGGGAUGACGUCAAGUCAUCAUGGCCCUUACGACCAGGGCUACACACGUGCUACAAUGGCGCAUACAAAGAGAAGCGACCUCGCGAGAGCAGGCGGACCUCAUAAAGUGCGUCGUAGUCCGGAUUGGGGUCUGCAACUCGACUCCAUGAAGUCGGAAUCGCUAGUAAUCGUGGAUCAGAAUGCCACGGUGAAUACGUUCCCGGGCCUUGUACACACCGCCCGUCACACCAUGGGAGUGGGUUGCAAAAGAAGUAGGUAGCUUAACCUUCGGGAGGGCGCUUACCACUUUGUGAUUCAUGACUGGGGUGAAGUCGUAACAAGGUACCC
rnacentral:rRNA from 1 species